rnacentral:rRNA from 1 species
AUGAUUAGAAAUGCUCAGAAAAAUAAGUUGAUCAUUGGCCUAGCCCCGGAUUUGAUCCCUCAUGGGGUUGCAGUGUUACAGUAUGCGGACGAUACCAUUAUUUGUAUGGAUCAUGGUAUAGAUAAGGCAGUUAACCUAAAGUUGCUGCUAUACAUGUUUGAAAUGAUGUCUGGUCUCAAAGUGAAUUUCCAAAAGAGUGAGAUCCUAACUGUUGGUGGAGAUGAGAAUAUCAUUAGAGAAUAUGUUGAGCUCUUUAACCAUGACAUUGGCAGUUUCCUAAUUAAAUACUUGGGGAUGCCAGUCAGUUACACCAACCUUAGAAAUUCAGACUGGGAGUUCAUCAUUAUUAAAUAUCUCAACAUGUUCGAGGCUUGGAUAGGCAAUGUUGCCUCAAUGGGGGGCAGGCUCACUUUACUUGAUUCUCUCCUCACCCAACUCUCUAUCUUCCAUAUGUCUAUGUGGCUCAUGAAUAAAACGUUCAUUGAAAAGUUGGAUAAGCAUAGACGGAGAUUCUUCUAG